rnacentral:rRNA from 1 species
UGCUCCUUACAAGCAAGUCGAACGGCAGCACGGAGAGCUUGCUCUCUGGUGGCGAGUGGCGAACGGGUGAGUAAUGCAUCCCAACGUACCGAGUAAUGGGGGAUAACUGUCCGAAAGGAUGGCUAAUACCGCAUACGCCCUGAGGGGGAAAGCGGGGGAUCUUAGGACCUCGCGUUAUUUGAGCGGCCGAUGUUGGAUUAGCUAGUUGGUGGGGCAAAGGCCUACCAAGGCGACGAUCCAUAGCGGGUCUGAGAGGAUGAUCCGCCACAUUGGGACUGAGACACGGCCCAAACUCCUACGGGAGGCAGCUUUGGGGAAUUUUGGACAAUGGGGGGAACCCUGAUCCAGCCAUGCCGCGUGUCUGAAGAAGGCCUUCGGGUUGUAAAGGACUUUUGUUAGGGAAGAAAAGCUGGGUGUUAAUACCAUCUAGUGCUGACGGUACCUAAAGAAUAAGCACCGGCUAACUACGUGCCAGCAGCCGCGGUAAUACGUAGGGUGCGAGCGUUAAUCGGAAUUACUGGGCGUAAAGCGAGCGCAGACGGUUAAAUAAGUCAGAUGUGAAAUCCCCGAGCUCAACUUGGGACGUGCAUUUGAAACUGUGUAACUAGAGUGUGUCAGAGGGAGGUAGAAUUCCACGUGUAGCAGUGAAAUGCGUAGAGAUGUGGAGGAAUACCGAUGGCGAGAGGCAGCCUCCUGGGAUAACACUGACGUUCAUGCUCGAAAGCGUGGGUAGCAAACAGGAUUAGACACCCUGGUAGUCCCCGCCCUAAACGAUGACAAUUUGCUGUUGGGGUACUAGAUGCCUUAGUAGCGAAGCUAACGCGUGAAAUUGUCCGCCUGGGGAGUACGGUCGCAAGAUUAAAACUCAAAGGAAUUGACGGAGACCCGCACAAGCGGUGGAUGAUGUGGAUUAAUUCGAUGCAACGCGAAGAACCUUACCUGGUCUUGACAUGUACGGAAUCUCUUAGAGAUAGGAGAGUGCCUUCGGGAACCGUAACACAGGUGCUGCAUGGCUGUCGUCAGCUCGUGUCGUGAGAUGUUGGGUUAAGUCCCGCAACGAGCGCAACCCUUGUCAUUAGUUGCCAUCAUUAAGUUGGUCACUCUAAUGAGACUGCCGGUGACAAACCGGAGGAAGGUGGGGAUGACGUCAAGUAAAAAUGGCCCUU